rnacentral:lncRNA from 1 species
UAGAAGGUGGAAGUGCCUCCUGAUUUCUUCCUGGAAAUCUGUCUUCUGAUCAUGUUUCAUGAGAAGGAGAGCUUGGUGUACGGCUGUAAAUUAAGGGGGAUUAAGUUUUGUUGGCUGACAGGAAAAAUGUUUAGAAAUAUGAAGGUUUCUUUUUGAAAAGGGUAAGCUUUGCUACCUCUGCCUAGGCCUGCACAGACCUUCUGUCCUACCAGAAACACCUGACAGUAGGACUUCCUCCAGAACCUCGAGAGAAGACCAUCUCUGCGUGAGUGGGUCAUGUGGUUGGGUUUGAUAGAGUUUCUCUGCACCUUUAAGAAAUUGUGUGGGCUUGGCACAGUUUUCUCACCCUACUUUGUAGAAUAUCUUAUAUGCAAGGCUGCAGCACAGGAGAAUGACAGGGUACAGGUAAGUUAAAGAGAGUGUUUAUAGGAAGUAAUAAUCAAAGUUUUCUUACUGACUUUUCCUCAAUCCCCCCUAUUAUUCAUUUAAUGUAUGUGAGUACACUGUAGCUCUCUUCAGACACACCAGAAGAGGGCAUCGGAUCCCAUUACAGAUGGUUGUGAGCCACCAUGUGGUUACUGGGAAUUGAACUCAGGACCUCUGGAAUAGCAGUCAGUGCUUUUAACCGCUGAGCCAUCUCUCCAGUCUCAAAUUCCUUAAUUCUACUUUUUUAAACACACACACACAUAUCCCACACCACACCACACCAGGAGAUCAGGAAUUAGCAACAUAAAAGACAACCUUAGUCUAAAAGAGAAAUAGAAGAAAGUAUGUAGUUAGAGCAUUGGGUUGCUAUUGAUAUAGCUCCAUGCUGCUGAAGAACAAAUCAAAGGUGUGCGUUUUAUGUUUGGUGGAGGUGUGGGGGAAGGGGGUGCCUCUGCAGGCCCAUGCUGAGGCAUGCCUUCCCUGUAAGGGACCAGCCACAUGAUGGUAUAGCAUAGAAUAGAGUUUAUUCAGUGCAUGGGUAGGGAAGUUGAAGGAGUAGAGGAAGAGAAAGGCAGAGAGGGGAGAGAGGGAGAGAGAAUAGAGGAGUGAAGGCCUGCCAUGAGCAUGUGGAGAGAGAAGAGGGAGGGGAAUGGGAAGGGGAAGGAACAAAAGGACUGAACAAGAGCAAGAAGACAAGAGAGUGAGGAGGGGGCAAGCAGCCCCUUUUAUAGUGAGUCAGACAUACCUGGCUUGUUGCCAGGUAACUGUGGGGCGGAGCCUAGACUAAAGGUGUGAAGGUCAAAGCUGAAAGGGAAAAUGAGCAGCAGCCUGAGGUGGCAUGUCUGCAAGAACACUGUCAUCAGAUUGCCACUGGCCCAGUUUACUGUAGCUUCUGAAUAGCAGUAGUCCCCUGGGAUAGACUGAGACAAGAGGGUGAGGAGUGGAAGUUUAAUCCCUACCCAUAGUAGUCACUUACCACUAGCCACACCAGUAAAGUUUAUCUGCACUAAGUCUAUCUAAGUUCAUGCGAUGAUAGUGCCGAUAUUUAAAUCUACAAGCAGAUGGUAUUUAAAAGAAAUAUUUUUAGAAUUAUUCUAACUUCAUAAGUGAUCAAAAGUAAAUCUGGUUUUCUAUGAAAGAAUUACCU